rnacentral:tRNA from 2 species
GCCGGGGUGGCGGAAUUGGUAGACGCGUUGGACUUAAAAUCCAAUGAGUGAUGAGCUCGUGGGGGUUCGAUUCCCCCCCUCGGCACCA